rnacentral:rRNA from 1 species
CCUACGGGAGGCAGCAGUGAGGAAUAUUGGUCAAUGGGCGGAAGCCUGAACCAGCCAAGUAGCGUGCAGGAUGACGGCCCUACGGGUUGUAAACUGCUUUUAUACGGGAAUAACGCGCCUUACGUGUAGGGCUUUGCAUGUACCGUAUGAAUAAGGACCGGCUAAUUCCGGGCCAGCAGCCGCGGUAAUACGGAAGGUCCGGGCGUUCUCCGGAUUUAUUGGUGUUAAAGGGAGCGUAGGCCGCAUGUUAAGCGUGCUGUGAAAGGUCCGGGCUCAACCCUGGCCUUGCAGCGGAAACUGGCUGGCUUGAGUCCGCGGAAAGCAGGCGGAAUUCGUCGUGUAGCGGUGAAAUGCUUAGAUAUGACGAAGAACCCCGAUUGCGAAGGCAGCUUGCUGCAGCGGAACUGACGCUGAUGCUCGAAAGCGCGGGUAUCGAACAGGAUUAGAUACCCUGGUAGUC